GACGAACGCUGGCGGCGUGCUUAACACAUGCAAGUCGAACGGAAAGGCCCUGCUUUUGUGGGGUGCUCGAGUGGCGAAAGGGUGAGUAACACGUGAGUAACCUGCCCUUGACUUUGGGAUAACUUCAGGAAACUGGGGCUAAUACCGGAUAGGAGCUCCUGCUGCCUGGUGGGGGUUGGAACGUUUCGGCGGUUGGGGAUGGACUCGCGGCUUAUCAGCUUGUUGGUGGGGUAGUGGCUUACCAAGGCUUUGACGGGUAGCCGGCCUGAGAGGGUGACCGGCCACAUUGGGACUGAGAUACGGCCCAGACUCCUACGGGAGGCAGCAGUGGGGAAUAUUGCACAAUGGGCGGAAGCCUGAUGCAGCAACGCCGCGUGCGGGAUGACGGCCUUCGGGUUGUAAACCGCUUUCGCCUGUGACGAAGCGUGAGUGACGGUAAUGGGUAAAGAAGCACCGGCUAACUACGUG
rnacentral:rRNA from 1 species